UGUGAAAAGAAAUUCAGUGGAGAAGUUAUAUUGACAGUGGGGCCAGCAGCCUAGUCCUAUCUUUACAUUGAAACAGUGGAGCCAAGAGCCUAGUCCUAUCUUUACGCUGAAAGCACGACUUCCUUCUGAUAUAAUCGUGCUAAAGGCUGAGCCGGACCUGUUCUGACAACGUCUUCAGAUAUGUUUCAGUGUCACCCAGGCAUACAGGAGUGCAGAGGCCGGUCAGUAUUCCUUGAGAAACUGGUAGCCAAAUGCCGCUCCUUCUGAGGGCCAUGUUCCCAGCUAAUGCUGAGCAUCCGUUUACCAACUGAGAUUCUUGUACGGGCUGUCUAUAACCCUCUUGUGGCAGGACCUUUGGGAGCCUGAGGCUGUUAUGUGUCAAUGGAGACCAACUUCCAGGUUGACUGAUCUGUAUCACAAGAGUGAGGCAACCACAUAUGCAAAUGUCAGACCUGAAGCCAACAACACCUUACUGUGUUGAUCGAGGAAUUCUCUGAAGAGCAGUUACUACCUGACUUAGCUGUUGGGCCGUCCUUGUCUCCCUGUCAACACUGCUGAGGAUCUACAGGUCUGACGCGUGAUGGGGCCCGACGCGUCUGAGAAAGUGAAACCUGGGAGGAACCUGAAAAUCUUCAAGCAAUUAUCUUUCUCCUAAUGAUAGUUUUCAAAAACAAAACAAAACAAAACAAAACAACCAACAGCCCUUUCCUUCAUACUCACUUACCUUAUUUCCUACCGCCUGCUGACCCUAUUGCCCAGCUACCUUCAGAAAGCUAUCCAACACCCAAACAGGCAGACUGAGGAACAAAGGUGUCUGUGGGGAAAGGAACUGUCAAUAGCCUGCCUCAAGAUUAAACAGAUAUCUAGGUUUUCUUCUCUCCAUGGCUCUUCAUCACCUUUCUACAACAAAACUGUGCACAUGAGCAAGUGUCUGCUGGUUUGUAAGAGCUGGGGCGUGAGCAGAGAAAAAGAAUAUGAUUCCUGUAAGAUAUGUAACUGGCUCUGAAUGGGCGUCAGUAGAGGUGGAAAAGCCAGAUUUUUUUUUUCAGAAUAAAUAGAUUUAGUUAUCUCUUCCCAUUAUUUUGCCUGUUUGCAAAUGCUCAGAUCUCAUUAAACUUAAUGUGCGACUAAUAGAAGGAAAGCUUUAAAAAAUUAGCACCUCACAAACUCUUCCCUUUCUA